AUACGGAGGAUGCGAGCGUUAUCCGGAUUUAUUGGGUUUAAAGGGUGCGCAGGCGGUCUGCUAGUUGGAGGUGAAAAGCCCGGGCUCAACCUGGGUCGUGCCUCCAAUACUGGUGGACUUGAAUGUCCGUGCCGUGGGAGGAAUGAGUAGUGUAGCGGUGACAUGCAUAGAUAUUACUCAGAACACCGAUUGCGAAGGCAUCUCACGAACGGAUGAUUGACGCUCAGGCACGAAAGCGUGGGGAGCGAACAGAAUUAGAAACUCUGGUAGUCCACGCCGUAAACGAUGAUGACUAACCGCCGGCGAUAGAGUGCUCGGUGGCCAAGCGAAAGCGAUAAGUCAUCCACCUGGGGAGUACGACCGCAAGGUUGAAACUCAAAUGAAUUGACGG
rnacentral:rRNA from 1 species